CCAGUGUUUAAGUUCACUUUGGAAUUCAACAGUGAGGUGCACUUCCUCCUUUAGACAGCAGGAGGCAGCAUUGCCUAGUUUACAGUAAUGUCCAUGAUAGCAGGGCACAACAAGGAGUUCCUUUCAAGUAGACUUUAAGCUAGUUCAGUGACGAUCGCAAACGUUUUCAUCUGCUCGAAUCUCAUGCCAAACAAAGUAUCAUUGUUUUACCCUUUUUAGGGUCAAUAAACCUGUGGACAAGAAGACGUUUUUCAGUGUUUGAUCAAGAAAAGGUGUUAGGAUGAUAUUGAUGGGCUAGCUGGAGAAGAAAGAGAACUUGCCAUUCGAGUUGAAAGGCUUGAUACCACCUCUCGAGCCUAUGGAAUGGAAAUCCAUGCUGAAAAAACCAAAAUGAUGACCAAGAACAACAAUGGCAUCUGCUUAGACAUCAAAUUCAAUGGACAGGCACUGGACACGGUGUCCAGCUUCAAGUACCUCGAAGCAAUCGUGUCCCAUGAAGGAUCCAAACGGGAAGUCCUUGCCAGAAGUGCUGAAACAACUGCUGCCCUAACUGAAGCCCAUAUGGAAAGACACAAGCAUCAAAGGUGAGAUUACAGGGCUCACUUGUAAUGUCCAUCUUCCUUUACGCCUGUCAAACAUGGAGCCUCACAGCAGAGCUGCAGAAAAGAAUUCCGAGCAUGGAGAUGAGAUGCUACACAAGAUUCAUGGGUAGCUCCUACAGUGUUGUUGUUAAUGCAGAGUGGACAACGAAAUAUUUUUUUACUGAAGUCCGAUCAAAGGCUGUGUGUCUGAUAUGCCAAGAAACUGUCGCGGUUUACAAAGAGUACAAUAUCAGCCGCCACUUUGCUACCAAGCAUGCUAACUACGCCAGCAAGCAGUCAACGCAAGAGCGAACAGCCACGGCCCAGAGGUUGGCGGCUAAUUUACAGGCUCAGCAACAAUACACCCAACAUGUCACAAACCAAGAAGUCCGGCAAAAAUUCAGCCAAGUCAUCGGCCCACAUGAUGACCUGCUCACUACGCUCAUAAAGCGGAAACUGAGGUGGUACGGACACAUCACCAGAUCCUCAGGCCUUGCAAAAAGCAUCCUGCAAGGCACCGUACAAGGUGGCAGGAGACCAGGGAGACCAAAGAAAAGAUGGGAAGAUAACAUCGGAGAAUGGACUCCCCUGAAACUCACUGAGGCAAUGAGAGCUGCUGAGGACAGAGAGGGAGGGAGAGAGCUGGUCAACCCCUCCGGAGUUAUGGGAUAGAUCAGAUCAGAUACUUACGGCGUGUAUAUAAAACCUGAUUGGAGGCAUUUGGAUGUUUUUUUUAGAGCGCUUUAAAUGUGGAAUAGACAUUACUUUCCUUGUUAGCUGACUCUUGCUAGCAUUUAUUUACGAUUUAGAAUGUAUACAAAUGUGUUCUCGUCUUACAUAAGGAUUGUGAAUGAUAGGCAAAAUCCCAAACAAAGUGCAAUUACCCUUUCAGCGCAAAAAUGUUGACUAAAGUGGUGAAGUUGUGUUUUCAUUUGCACUUUAAUUUUGUUGACAGUUUAUUUAAGAAAAGUAUAUACAAAACCCAAAAGCAGUGAAGUUGUCACUUUGUGUAAAUGGUAAAUAAAAAGAAAAU